UUGCAUAGCAGAGCACCAGUAACACUGUUUUUGACAGUGAGACUCACCAGGACAAGUCUGCGAUAUCUACGACCUUCUGGGACUGGGUAGGGAAAAUUGCCGACAACAGAGAAGAUAGAGUAGUUUCCUACGGGCGUAGGAUUUACAAGCCAAGCAGGAGCCUUUAUGAAGCGGUACAACGUUGUUCCAGUUUCCGCACGCUCGGAGCAGAGCCCGACCUUUUUUAUCAAGAAAGAGUCGGAGGCUUCAACUUAUCACUGGUAGCUCUAUGGUUAGGUUCGGCGAUUCUGGGCAUUGCAUUUUGUGGACCAGCCAGCAUUCAGCAACCCGAAAAGCUGAGGGACCAGGCCUCAAGACGCUCGGACAGCUGUCAACCACUGCGGCAGUUUUCCUAAGGUGUGUCCUAUAUCUCAGCUAGAGGUUGUUAUCUUGUUGCUCGUCAGGUCGGCAGACAACCUCGGGUUUGUAGCGAGAUUUCAGGUGAUUUGAUUUUUGUUUAUGAGCCGAUUUGUUUUUUGUUGGGUUUCUCGCUUGACAGGUUCUUGGACAAC